AGUGAACGCUGGCGGUAGGCCUAACACAUGCAAGUCGAACGGCAGCACAGUAAGAGCUUGCUCUUACGGGUGGCGAGUGGCGGACGGGUGAGGAAUACAUCGGUAUCCUCUUUUUCGUGGGUGAUAACGUAGGGAAACUUACGCUAAUACCGCAUAUGUCCUACGGGUUAAAGCAGGGGUUCUUCUGACUUUGCGCGAUUGAAUGAGCCGAUGUCGGAUGAGCUAGUUUGCUGGGUAAAGGCACACCAAGGCGACGAUCCGUAGCUGGUCUGAGAGGAUGAUCAGCCACACUGGAACUGAGACACGGUCCAGACUCCUACGGGAGGCAGCAGUGGGGAAUAUUGCGCAAUGGGCGCAAGCCUGAUCCAGCAAUACCGCGUGGGUGAAGAAGGCCUUCGGAUUGUAAAGCCCUUUUGUUGGGAAAGAAAAGCAGCAGGUUAAUACCCCGCUGUUCUGACGGUACCCAAAGAAUAAGCACCGGCUAACUUCGUG
rnacentral:rRNA from 1 species